GCUGUGGUUUAGUGGUAGAACAUCUGCUUGGCUUGUGGAAAGUCCCAGGUUCAAUCGCUGGCAUCUCCA
rnacentral:tRNA from 1 species